rnacentral:rRNA from 1 species
AGAGCGAACGCUGGCGGCAGGCCUAAUACAUGCAAGUCGAACGGAUCCUUCGGGAUUAGUGGCGGACGGGUGAGUAACACGUGGGAACGUGCCCUUUGGUUCGGAACAACUCAGGGAAACUUGAGCUAAUACCGAAUGAGCCCCCAUCCUUAAACAAGAUGGGUGGGAAAGAUUUAUCGCCAUUGGAGCGGCCCGCGUCUGAUUAGCUAGUUGGUGGGGUAAAGGCCCACCAAGGCGACGAUCAGUAGCUGGUCUGAGAGGAUGAUCAGCCACACUGGGACUGAGACACGGCCCAGACUCCUACGGGAGGCAGCAGUAGGGAUCUUGCGCAAUGGGCGAAAGCCUGACGCAGCCAUGCCGCGUGAAUGAUGAAGGUCUUAGGAUUGUAAAAUUCUUUCAGCGGGGACGAUAAUGACGGUACCCGCAGAAGAGCCCCGGCUAACUUCGUGCCAGCAGCCGC